UCCUCUCUUCUUUAUAGUCUCUUCACACUGAUGACCAAAUUCAUCAUGUAUUCGAUAGGAAGAAAAAUGUCUGCAAUGCAGAAAGUGUAUGUGUUAGGUGUUUGGGUUUUUUUUUGCAUGAUUGUUUUGCAGCUCAGACAUGUGAAAUUCCAGCAGCCUGCAUAGUUCAUCUCCUACCCACAAUCUAACUCAGUGUCUCAUUGCAGUGCCCCGUAUGAAAUGCUGUUCCCUGAGCGGUACCCCGGGUUGCUGGCUGCUCAGUGAUGUUUAGUAGCAAUUUAACCUCUAAGGCCUAAAGCACUGAUGAUUUUUAUUCCUGCUGUGCCACCUUUCAUGCUGUAGAUGUGCUCUGUAAGAGCAGCCACGCUAUGGCAGCUGCAGCUUCCUUGCAGGAAGAGUGAGGUGGUAGCGAGGAGCUUUUUUCCUGCCAGUGUACUCCCUUAAUGUGCACAACCCAGAGCCGGUGGUUUGCAGGCAUCCUCAAUGGUCUGUCCUGGUGGAGAGAGGUCGGAAUCCCCUGUCUCGUGGAGGUGUGCUGGGAUGUGGCUGCCUUACAUCUGCGGGAUGGCGAGGUGUGUAAAGGGGAACGGAUUGAAGGAUUUUCUACGGGAUGCAUCUGUCGGCGUGUGAAAGCUCAUGGUGGCUUAGUAAUACCAGGAGAUGCUGCAUGUUUUAGUUUGAAUGGAUCCAGUGACGAUUCAAAUGCCAUCCCCACGCUUUUACACAUGAGAAUUACUGAAUUUAGCUUGCUUUUGAGCAAUAAAGGAUCGCUAAUAAGCAUGGCAGUUUAUUUGGGAGACACGAUGCAGUGGUUUUAAGGGUCUGACCAAAUGCUGCUUGAAGUUGAUGAGAAAUACCAGUGGGCCUGCACAGCUUUAAGGAUGAAAUGCAUAUUGGAAUAAAGCAUAUUAUACCUGCAGCGUCUCUUCCCAGCUUGCAGUGGUUGCUCUGCAAGGGCUUAAAACAGCACAUCUGGUGUAAGCAGGAAGGCGAGCUCUUUGUCCACAACUGUGACAACUACCCCUUUCUUCCCAGUUUCCUUCUCCCAUAGUGUUUCGGGUGUGGUUAUUUAAAUAGUAGCUGGCAGGAUGAGUAUGGUUGAUAUUUUCUUCCUAGCAAAGGGCUCAUCCAUGUGCCAAAGUGUAAUCAGCCCUUCACCCGCUAAUUGAGGUCAUUCUGUAUGUUAGGUCACAUUUCUCCAUUCUAAUACGGAGGUUGUUACACAGAGACAUACAAUUGAGUGUUUGGUUUUGUUUAGUUCCUCUUUCAGUGCCAGGGAGAGAGUUUUCUUAAUUCUAUAACUAUUGUUACAGCCCGAUUCCUGUUUCAAAUAAGCCCAGAAAAUUGCUUAAGAACUUUUCAG
ensembl:lncRNA